rnacentral:piRNA from 1 species
UCCAUGUUUCCUGAUUUUUAU